GACGAACGCUGGCGGCGUGCUUAACACAUGCAAGUCGAACGGAAAGGCCCUGCUUUUGUGGUGUGCUCGAGUGGCGAACGGGUGAGUAACACGUGAGUAACCUGCCCUUGACUUUGGGAUAACUUCAGGAAACUGCGGCUAAUACCGGAUAGGAGCUCCUGCUGCAUGGUGGGGGUUUGAAAGUUUCGGCGGUUGGGGAUGGACUCGCGGCUUAUCAGCUUGUUGGUGGGGUAGUGGCUUACCAAGGCUUUGACGGGUAGCCGGCCUGAGAGGGUGACCGGCCACAUUGGGACUGAGAUACGGCCCAGACUCCUACGGGAGGCAGCAGUGGGGAAUAUUGCACAAUGGGCGGAAGCCUGAUGCAGCAACGCCGCGUGAGGGAUGACGGCCUUCGGGUUGUAAACCGCUUUCGCCUGUGACGAAGCGUGAGUGACGGUAAUGGGUAAAGAAGCACCGGCUAACUACGUG
rnacentral:rRNA from 1 species